rnacentral:rRNA from 1 species
AGCAGCCGCGGUAAUUCCAGCUCCAAUAGCGUAUAUUAAAGUUGUUGCAGUUAAAAAGCUCGUAGUUGAAUUUCGGGAUUGACACAUCGGUCGUGCCUUAAGGGGUAUGAACUGGUGUAGUCAAUUUCUCACCUUCUGGAGAACCGCGAUGCCCUUAAUUGGGUGUCGCGGGGAACCAGGACCUUUACUUUGAAAAAAUUAGAGUGUUUAAAGCAGGCAUUUUGCUUGAAUACAUUAGCAUGGAAUAAUAAAAUAGGACGGCAUGGUUCUAUUUUGUUGGUUUCUAGGACCACCGUAAUGAUUAAUAGGAAUAGUUGGGGGCAUUAGUAUUCAAAUGUCAGAGGUGAAAUUCUUGGAUUUAUUGAAGACUAACUACUGCGAAAGCAUUUGCCAAGGAUGUUUUCAUUAAUCAAGAACGAAAGUUAGGGGAUCGAAGACGAUCAGAUACCGUCGUAGUCUUAACCAUAAACUAUGCCGACUAGGGAUCGGAUGAUGUUAAUUUUUUAAUGACUCAUUCGGC